CACAAUAAAACAAUACUUAAACUGCUGUACUUCCUUAACUUACCGACAAAGUUUUUUGAAUACCGAUUUUUUGGAAUAGUUUUUAAAUUUAAAAACGAUAAUUAGGAUAACGUUGUUUUUUUUUCGAGUUUAAACAGACAGCGCUCAACUGAUUGAAACGGAAUCAAAUAAUUGAAGCCCGGAAGGCCAUACUGAAGCAGGAUAUUGGCUAAAAAGCGUGGCAUUAUUUCACUUGAAACUGAUACGUUACGUGUCGAUAAUAUAUUGGCAAUAAUUUUUAAACUGCUAGCAAACAAUGUGACAUAGUUCGUGGCACCGCCUCUUGCACCGAUGGCUGCCACCACUCUUAAUCGAGACGGAACUUGUUGCUACAUAUUAGAGACUUAGCAGUCACGGAGACCAUUUGUUUUUUCCUGUCCUUCUUGUGCCCGUCAUUUGUCGACUUCCCAGGUGUUCUCCGCAGUAUUGAAAUCUUAGCAGGCCAGCAGCUAUCCAUAGUACAUGAAAUUCAUUGUCAGUGGGUAGCCUGGACAUAUUCUCUCCGAGCUCCGUGACAAGGCGGACCAUCGUGCAAGAAAGCGCGUAACCUCCGUACCUGAAACAGUAUGUCGCUCUUAAUAAUUCAGCAUGGUACAGCUGCUUUAGUAUUCCCUGUGCAAAACGUAUUACCGUAGUGCCUCUGCCAGAAAUCAUCAGUUUUUGGUGGUUGCUUUGAGUUUCGCCACAACACAAUAGGGGCCGAUUGAUGAGGACACCAGUGGCGACGUGGUAGCCUCAAAGUUAACAUGAAAAAAUCUACCUGUUCACAGGACGGUCAAAAACACAGGUUCACAAACAAAUGACAGUUUUUUCAAUCCAACACAAUCCGUUAGGCUGCAGCACGCCGCCGACGACGAGGUAGUCGCGUUAUGUAAAUGCAAGAAAGCAGAAAAGUUGAAUUUAAUAUGCUUGUGCGUUUCCAUUGACUCUCAAUGUUCGUGCGUUCAUUGACGUGUAGUUCCUUAGCGAUCUUGAGAGAGAGAGAGAGAGAGAGAGAGAUCUAGUUGACGAUUAUCGGCCAUAGUCUUCAUUUCAUCGAUGGGUCUGUACCGCAAUCAAUAGCUUGGUCCUUCACGGCACUUCCAGGCGUGCUGCUGAUUAUUAUGAGUGUUGCGACAACGAUGCUGAUUAGUCAGUUUCCAAAGUACGCUUUCCAGUUGUCCUUAAUCUGCACUUAUGGACUCAUCGUCACGACCUACUGUACCUUUUUAACGGUUUUAAUCUUCCAAUUCUGCCUAAGAGACAUGAACAAGGAUGCGCCGAAGUCUUCCCGCGGGAGCACAAAUCGCGGUGCCACUACGCCGAUCUUGGUGGAUGCCUACCCCUGCGACGGA